GGGUGCGAUCAUACCAGCGUUAAUGCACCGGAUCCCAUCAGAACUCCGCAGUUAAGCGCACUUGGGCUAGAGUAGUACUGGGAUGGGUGACCUCCCGGGAAGUCCUAGUGUUGCACCCUC
rnacentral:rRNA from 1 species